GACGAACGCUGGCGGCGUGCUUAACACAUGCAAGUCGAACGGAAAGGCCCUGCUUUUGUGGGGUGCUCGAGUGGCGAACGAGUGAGUAACACGUGAGUAACCUGCCCUUGACUUUGGGAUAACUUCAGGAAACUGGGGCUAAUACCGGAUAGGAGCUCCUGCUGCAUGGUGGGGGUUGGAAAGUUUCGGCGGUUGGGGAUGGACUCGCGGCUUAUCAGCUUGUUGGUGGGGUAGUGGCUUACCAAGGCUUUGACGGGUAGCCGGCCUGAGAGGGUGACCGGCCACAUUGGGACUGAGAUACGGCCCAGACUCCUACGGGAGGCAGCAGUGGGGAAUAUUGCACAAUGGGCGGAAGCCUGAUGCAGCAACGCCGCGUGCGGGAUGACGGCCUUCGGGUUGUAAACCGCUUUCGCCUGUGACGAAGCGUGAGUGACGGUAAUGGGUAAAGAAGCACCGGCUAACUACGUGCCAGCAGCCGCGGUGAUACGUAGGGUGCGAGCGUUGUCCGGAUUUAUUGGGCGUAAAGGGCUCGUAGGUGGUUGAUCGCGUCGGAAGUGUAAUCUUGGGGCUUAACCCUGAGCGUGCUUUCGAUACGGGUUGACUUGAGGAAGGUAGGGGAGAAUGGAAUUCCUGGUGGAGCGGUGGAAUGCGCAGAUAUCAGGAGGAACACCAGUGGCGAAGGCGGUUCUCUGGGCCUUUCCUGACGCUGAGGAGCGAAAGCGUGGGGAGCGAACAGGCUUAGAUACCCUGGUAGUCCACGCUGUAAACGGUGGGUACUAGGUGUGGGGUCCAUUCCACGGGUUCCGUGCCGUAGCUAACGCUUUAAGUACCCCGCCUGGGGAGUACGGCCGCAAGGCUAAAACUCAAAGGAAUUGACGGGGCCCCGCACAAGCGGCGGAGCAUGCGGAUUAAUUCGAUGCAACGCGUAGAACCUUACCUGGGUUUGACAUGGAUCGGGAGCACUCAGAGAUGGGUGUGCCUCUUUUGGGGUCGGUUCACAGGUGGUGCAUGGCUGUCGUCAGCUCGUGUCGUGAGAUGUUGGGUUAAGUCCCGCAACGAGCGCAACCCUUGUUCACUGUUGCCAGCACGUUAUGGUGGGGACUCAGUGGAGACCGCCGGGGUCAACUCGGAGGAAGGUGGGGAUGACGCCAAGUCAUCAUGCCCCUUAUGUCCAGGGCUUCGCGCAUGCUACAAUGGCUGGUACAGAGAGUGGCGAGCCUGUGAGGGUGAGCGAAUCUCGGAAAGCCGGUCUCAGUUCGGAUUGGGGUCUGCAACUCGACCUCAUGAAGUCGGAGUCGCUAGUAAUCGCAGAUCAGCAACGCUGCGGUGAAUACGUUCCCGGG
rnacentral:rRNA from 1 species